rfam:Arthrobacter sp. ZBG10 contig_39, whole genome shotgun sequence.
GGUCAUGAGUGCCAGUGACAGCCCCGGCUUGCUGGCCGGCAACCCUCCUUCCGCGGUGGGGUGCCCCGGGUGAAGACCUGGCCUGCCGGUCAUUCGACGGCAGGCAAGCGCGUAGA